UUCUAGAUAACAGCAAAAGCAUCUAUCAUUUUUGUUACUCUUCAGUAUAAUGUUACUCUCCCUGCAACAGAGGAGCAAGCUACUGAAUCAGCGUCCCUUUAUUACUAUGGUAUCAAAGAUUUGGCUACAGUUUUCUUCUACAUGCUAGUGGCGAUAAUUAUUCAUGCCAUAAUUCAAGAGUAUGUGUUGGAUAAAAUUAAUAGACGAAUGCACUUCUCCAAAACGAAGCACAGCAAAUUCAACGAAUCUGGUCAGCUUAGUGCAUUCUACCUUUUUGCUUGUGUUUGGGGCACAUUCAUUUUAAUCUCUGUAAGUA